rnacentral:rRNA from 1 species
GUUAAGCGACUAAGCGUACACGGUGGAUGCCCUGGCAGUCAGAGGCGAUGAAGGACGUGCUAAUCUGCGAUAAGCGUCGGUAAGGUGAUAUGAACCGUUAUAACCGGCGAUUUCCGAAUGGGGAAACCCAGUGUGUUUCGACACACUAUCAUUAACUGAAUCCAUAGGUUAAUGAGGCGAACCGGGGGAACUGAAACAUCUAAGUACCCCGAGGAAAAGAAAUCAACCGAGAUUCCCCCAGUAGCGGCGAGCGAACGGGGAGCAGCCCAGAGCCUGAAUCAGUGUGUGUGUUAGUGGAAGCGUCUGGAAAGGCGCGCGAUACAGGGUGACAGCCCCGUACACAAAAAUGCACAUGCUGUGAGCUCGAUGAGUAGG